GUUUGGAUAAUGUUAUUUUUCUAGGUAAAUAGCAAAGCAAUGAUGAUGUUUUCAGGCUUCGUGAGUGAUGAAAUUCAUGAAAACGUAUUCUGGCCAGAUUUACCUUAUGUAACUGAUGAACAUGGAAGUAAGAUAAUAAUCUUUUGUUUAUAAUUCUCAUGUUUAUUACGGGUAGCAAUUGUUUGGUUAAGCAGCAUUGUCGUUAAUACUUUUAUUUACUUAUUGUCAGAUAUAUACUUUCAAGUGAAGAAUGAUGAAGAUAUUUUGCAAACCUUAUCCACCGAGGAAAACAUUGUGGUAAGAUUUGUUCUAUAAAAUUGAUUCCGUUUAAUUAAUAAGUUAUUAUUUUGGGACACUAAAACUGUUUUUCUCCUAUGAAGUGUAAUACUCCUAUUGCUCGUCGUCUGUUAUGUUUUCUCCUAUAUAGGUCUAAUUAUUCCUAAAUUCUUUAAUGUUUUCUCUUUCUGGUGUUUAAUAUGUUAAAAAUUUCUGAUAUGGCAAACAUAAUGGUAUACAUCAUCUGUCUGCAGCUUGAAAAAAGUAAAAUUUUUUUAUCUUUUCUUCACUACAUGCAUUAUCCAACUUUAAAUGAUUGUUUUGAAGCCAUACUUGAUUUUAAAAAAUGCAGCAAGUUAUUAUUGGACUGGAUACUGCAGAGAUGAUUAGUGAGGUUGAGUUGCUAGGUCAUUCAGAAAUUGAUUUUGGCAUUGAUGAGUUAGAUGAUGAAGAUAGUGAUUUCCAUGAUGAAGAGGACGAUGACACUGAAAACGAUAACUAUGGAAAGGUGGUAACUUUUCCUUCAAUUCCCCCUUCAAGUUUCAGAUUGUAGUUUUCUGCAGUAUGUGGACAUUGAUAUUGUUCAUCUGCAGGACUGGGUUGGUGUUCUUGAUGAUGAAGAAGAAGAUCUGGAUGAGGACUCUGAUGGAUCCAUAGGGGACUGGGCUAAAUUGGAGACCAUGCGGUCUUCUCAUCCAAUGCAUUUUGCCAAAAAGCUAGUUGAGGUGACUCUCCUAAUCAAAUUUGCUACAUAGUGUAGUAUUAGAAAAGUAGAUCGAAAAAAGUGGAACAUGGAAUACCAUUCUACUAAAUUGACUUUCCGACUAAAAUUACUAUAAUAUUUUUGCCUUUAUUUUGUCAUCGUCAUAUUCCCUUCUCUAAUUUAAAAUGAAUCAAGUUAAUACACCAUCAUAUAUCCAUUUUUGUGAAUCUAUUUUUGUUACAGGUUGUGUCUGAUAAUCCAGAUGAAUAUAUGGAGCAGCCUUCUGCUGGUCUUGCCAUACAAGGCCUCCUAAGACCUGCAUUUAUUGAAGAACACUCUGUCAUCCAGAACCAUAAAUCUAGUGGUGCUGAUACUAAUUACAUUUCUGAAGAACAAAUUCAAGAAGCCAUUUUUCAGAUCAAUGGUCACAAACCCGAAAAUGAAACUAUGCAAGGUAGCCCAAAUUUGGCAGGGGAAUUGGAGAAGGAUGAAAUGCUGGGAAAUGGAACUUUAUUUUACAAGCUAGAGAUGAUUAAAAUUCAGUUAGUUUCAUCACAUGGACAUCCGGUACUUUUGAUUUUUCUUUGAGAAUCUCAAGAUUGCAUGGUGCUCUCAUUUCUUCUGACCUUUACUUCUUCAUAUUUAAACUUUUUUGGUUCUCAUACUUGAGAAAGCUGCUGAAUCUACUCUAUUUUCUGCCUCUUUUGUAACUCUGCAUGUUCACAACUAUGUUUUGAUAGCAAUCCUAAAGUUGGCAGAAGUCAUCCAUGCCAUUUAGUGAAAUUUCUUUCAGCAUAUAUAUGUUCCAUGUACACAAUAUAGUUAUCUGUGGCGUGUUUAUUUCAUCUAAUAUUAGAAUGGAGAUGAAAAGUUUUGCUUGAUUCCUCUUCUUUUUCUUAAAAUACUCUGCUUUCAUGUCCUUGCAAUUGUUUACUAUCAGAAAUGAUACGUAGGGACCUGAAAAGGAGUUGUAGAGGAUAGAUGAGGAAAAGAAGAUGAAGGAAAUUAUGCUAUCAAUUUUCCCAUUACCCCAUGUUGAAUGAAAAACGUUUAUUUCUCUUUCUGAAAGCAGUGGGCUUUAAAUGGCAAACAACGAUUGGGAUGAGAAUAUCCCCCAAAUAGUAGGGGGCAGCCUUCCGUUUGAUACUAAUAGAUAUAUCUUUUGUACUCAAGGUCCAUCUCAAAUAUCGUAAAUAUCAACACCUCAAAUGAUGAACCUUCUUAUCAUUAGGGCAUGUUCUUAACUUGAACCAACUGUUUGACUUGAGAAAUAACUUGACUCUGUGUUUGCAAGUAUGCUGCUGCAAUGACUUGGCUGUACAAAUUUGACAUCCCAGACUUUGUGUCAGAUGUAUUUGAACAAAUAUAGAUUGUAAUGUACUUGACAGUUGCCUUUCUAUGCUACGUAUACUGAUGCGAUUAAAUUUCAAAUAGUAUUACGCAUUGAAUGCACCACUUUGAGGUGGUCUAUCCUUUUGCUAUUAGGAUGGGAAAGCAUAAAUUACUUUUUUUGUUCUGUUUGUGCUUUCUACAGAAUUUUGUUGAUAUAGAAGAUUUUAUGAAAGCUCAACCUGAUGCAAUAGUACAUUCAGCUGCAAAAAUUAUAUCUCGUGUCAAAUCUGGUGGAGAAAAGACUACACAAGCUCUCAAAUCUCUGUGCUGGAGAUGCAAGGGUAUUCAAGUGGAGGUGACACAAUGGAGUUAUAUUAAUCUGUAAUUGUAUCAUGCCUGUUAACUUGAAGUAAACUUUGCAUUGUUUGUAACUUGGAAAAUUGACAUGAAAAUAAGAUUAUAAUUUCACCCAUUCUUUGGUGACAUUUACAGCAUGAAGAAAGUGAGAGGAAUCAAUAUCUACUUCUCCUCACCCAUCUCUUCAUGAACAAGGCCUUUUAAACUUAUUCCCUCCUGGAAACUUAGUACUUACUUUUGCGAGAUUAAUUUGUUAAGAAUUUAAAUUGUGUAUGAAAAGUUACGUUCAUAAUAUUGGACCCUCAUCCAGUUGACGUUCUAUAUACUCUCUUGCAAUAUAUUGUCUUGGAAUACAAGAGAAGGCCAUCUAACAUAUUAAGAGAGAGUCAGAAAAGUUAUUUUUCUGCAAGCAAGUUCUUUUGCUAAUUUUAUAUAUUGAAUUUGUGACAGGAGGUGGCUCUUAUAGGUGUAGACAGCCUUGGUUUUGACUUAAGAAUUUGCUGUGGAACACAAGUACAAACAUUGCGUUUUGCAUUUAAGAAGAGGGUAUAUACUUUUUGUUCUUUACUUUUAUAUUCCAUCAAUUUCAUAUGCUCGUACUCAUCUUGGACCCAUGUGUUUGCAAUGAAAGAACAAUCUCUCUUAUCGUGAUGCAUGGCCUGGACUAUAUACAAAAUAGUGAAAAUUACCUUUUUAUAUAUCUCUCUCCUCUCCCUCUUUAACAAGUUGAUUUCCAGGCCUCUUCGGAGUAUAGCGCUGAAAGACAGUUGAAUGAUCUACUGUUUCCAAGAGUCCACAAGUUUCAACAAAAGAAAGAAUCUCAACAGACUGAAUCAUAACAUAUAGGUAUUCAAGUUCAUUUCUGUUUGUUCACCUCGUGUGCAUGUUUUAAAAGUUGUAUGCGAACAGCACAAGGGGAAUUCUUUUCUUGUUACCAGUUUCCUUGUAUCUUAACUGCUAGGUGAUUACUUUUAUUCUCUCUAUUUUAUCCCGGCCUCAACUGUAUAAGCUGAAUUUUGGUUUUGAUUGUGCUAUUCUAAAGGCAUCCACUGUUUACGCUGCUUAUGUACUUCUUGAGACUGAUAUUAACCUAUUGUCUCGUUACACAACUGAGGUGCAUGA
rnacentral:lncRNA from 1 species